AGAGCAAGAUGGCGGCGCCCAUGGAAGUGGUGGUGUGUACUGACGCCGCGGCACAGCUCUGGAGCUGCGUGGUGUGGGAGCUUCAUUCGGGCGCCAACCUGCUCACCUACCGAGGCGGCCAAGCGGGGCCGCGAGGCCUGGCGCUACUCAAUGGCGAGUACCUGCUGGCGGCGCAGCAGGGCAAGAACUACAUCUGCGCCUGGGAGCUGCAGCGUAAGGAUCAGCUCCAACAGAAAAUCAUGUGUCCUGGGCCUGUCACCUGUCUGACCACAGCACCUAAUGGCUUGUAUGUCCUGGCAGGAAUUGCAGAGAGCAUCUACCUGUGGGAGGUCUGCACCGGGAACCUCCUGGUCAUCCUCAGCCGGCACUACCAGGACGUGUCCUGCCUGAAGUUUACAGGGGAUGGCAGUCAUUUUGUCUCAGCGGGCAAGGACUGCUUGGCGCUGGCCUGGAGCCUCUGCAGUGUGCUACAGGCAGACCCAUCCAGGAUCCUUGCCCCAAGACAUGUCUGGUCCCAGCACACGCUCCCAAUCACAGACCUGCACUGCGGCUUCGGAGGCCCCAUGGCCCGGGUGGCCACCGCUUCAUUGGACCAGACUGUGAAGCUCCAGGCUUCCCAUUCCUGCAGCUCUGGGCCAUCUCCUCGGGGGACCUGCUGCUGUCUGUCUUGUUUGACAUGGGCAUCACAUCUGUGACCAUGGACCUGGCCGAGCACCACAUAUUCUGUGGAGGCAGCGAUGGCUCCAUCUUCCAGGUGGACCUGUGCAGCUGGCCCGGACUGAGGGAGCACAGCUUCCAGCCUGAGCAGAACACAGGGAAGGUCUUCAAAGGACACAGGAACCAAGUGACAUGCCUGUCAGUGUCAACAGACGGCAGUGUUCUGCUCUCUGGCUCCCACGAUGAAUCAGUGAGGCUGUGGGACGUGAAGAGCAAGCAGUGCUUGCGCACAGUCACCCUCAAAGGCCCAGUGACCAAUGCAGCCAUCAUUCUGGCCCCACCCAGCAUGCUGAACCCUGAAUUCAGGCCCAGCCUGCCCCUGCCCCACUUCAACAAGCACCUGCUGGGGGCUGAGCAUGGAGAUGAAGCCCAGGGUGGGGGCCUGCGCCUGCAGCUAGGGCUCCACCUGCAGGGCAAAGAGCCUAGCUACCUGGAGCGUCUGGAGCAGCUGCAGGCAGUGUUGUCCAGCUACCUGGAGAAGAACAUGCUAGGCAGCCAGAUGCUGCCAGCACGUGUGUUUGAUCUGGAGGAUGAGGUGCGUAGCCUGCGCAAGAUCAACAGGGACCUGUUCGACUUCUCCACGCGCAUCAUCACACGGCCCUCCAAGUGAGACGUGCUGGGCCACUGCCACACAAACACUUGCCACGGGGCUGUGAUCUAGUGUUUUAACAAAGGAUGGACUAAAGGAUGGACAAUUCUUAAAUUGUGCGCCUUGGUUGUUCUGUCCCUAUCUGGGCUGGGGCUUGGUUGGAAGGCCUCGGGCCUGGGGGAUGGGGUGCGGUGAGUGGGGGGCCGACUGCAGAGUCCCCAUUCAUGAGGGCCAAUCAGGCAGCAAUCAGUCCUUCACAGCUGUCCAAAGCUCAGUGUUCACAUCGUGUCCUGGGGCUACCUCAAAUACCCAAAUACCAACAGAACCUUCCAGAAAGCUGCCUGCAACUGACAGCCCUGCUUAACAAUCCAGAAGAUCUGUGAUUUAUCAGAGCUGUUGCCACUGCAGCUCAGAAGAGCUGUGCCCUCAGGUGGCAAGAUGUGACCAUACCCUGGGGGACCACAGCCUCCUAUGACAUGGACCUCUGGGUCCUCUUCCCUGUACUUUCCUUCCUUUCCACCCUGGCCCCUCCCCUAGUCCCCUGGCUCCUUGUAGCUGUUGCUCCCUCAGGGAAGGUCUGGAGAGAGACAAGAAGGUAUGCACUCUACCAGCCAUGGGUCCCCAGGACCCAACCAAAGGCCUCUGGAGGUCUCUUGAGACUGGGUGUUCAUUAUACUCCUAAUUAUGUCUCAGAUUCUGGCUAGGGACAGUGGCAGAUGUUGGGUGGAGCCAUAACUUGCCACCCAAAUAUUGGGUCCCCACCUGCUGUGGCUGGACUGAGAGACCAUCUGCCUGUACUUCCCCCAUCCAAGCCAGAACCUCACUAGCCCAGGCUGGCUUGGAAGGCAGGGUCCCCCUGCAGAUCUGCUUCAUCUGUCCCAGCCUCCUUACUAAGCCUUGCUGUAUUCCCUCAUUUGUCUGCCUCAGCUUCCCCGCACUGACUGGAGAAUUCAGCCUUUGUAAAUACUAGGCUGGGUGAAUGCCAAGCAAGAUCUAAGUCCCCAGUCUCCUGAGCAGUGGGGCAGCCUGCACCAAGCCCCCAUAAACUUCCUCGGGCAACAGGAGUGGGGCAGUGUAGACCAGUACAGCCCCAUUCCCCAUGGGAGGGAAGUGGACGCUGUGUGGUCCAGCCAUCAAGUACGGAGGAACCUUGAGGACAAAGGCCACUGAAGGGUUCCAUGGCAGGAAAUGUCUGGAACAGUAUUCGGGGGGAUAAUUCACAUUUGUGAGAUGUGCUUUCCCACUCCCCAAAAAGGCCUUGCAUGAAUUUCCUGUCAUUCAGCUGGAGUGGAAGGUCCCACUUGGCCCUUCUGUUAGGAGUGAUAGUGAAUCCUGACAGGCCUGCAGUCCAGCUGUCUCAUGUUCAGUGAGUGGAAUAGAGCCGGCACCCAGGACUGUGUGGUGACCUACUGAAAGAGUGCCAGGUGACAGUAUAGACAAAAAGGAGAUGUCAGAGGAAGGGGAGCUAAGGCUGGCAACAUCUCAGCUUCAGGAAGAGCACCCUGAGGAUCUCUGAAGUGGUUGGUGACAAUGGCAACUAGGACAGACUAGCCCCAGACUGGAACCCUAAAGGACCCCAAGCCUGAUGUCCUUUGGAUCCCUGGCCAGGUGCCUAGACAGCCUGCCAUCUUGAGCCAAGCCAUCUCAUUAAAAACCAGCUCAAAGUGCA